rnacentral:rRNA from 1 species
AGAGUUUGUUUCUGGCUCAGAACGAACGCUGGUGGCGUGGAUAAGACAUGCAAGUCGAACGAGAGAAUUGCUAGCUUGCUAAUAAUUCUCUAGUGGCGCACGGGUGAGUAACACGUGAGUAACCUGCCCCCGAGGGCGGGAUAGCCCUGGGAAACUGGGAUUAAUACCGCAUAGUAUCGAAAGAUUAAAGCAGCAAUGCGCUUGGGGAUGGGCUCGCGGCCUAUUAGUUAGUUGGUGAGGUAACGGCUCACCAAGGCGAUGACGGGUAGCCGGUCUGAGAGGAUGUCCGGCCACACUGGAACUGAGACACGGUCCAGACACCUACGGGUGGCAGCAGUCGAGAAUCAUUCACAAUGGGGGAAACCCUGAUGGUGCGACGCCGCGUGGGGGAAUGAAGGUCUUCGGAUUGUAAACCCCUGUCAUGUGGGAGCAAAUUAAAAAGAUAGUACCACAAGAGGAGGAGACGGCUAACUCUGUGCCAGCAGCCGCGGUAAUACAGAGGUCUCAAGCGUUGUUCGGAAUCACUGGGCGUAAAGCGUGCGUAGGCUGUUUCGUAAGUCGUGUGUGAAAGGCGCGGGCUCAACCCGCGGACGGCACAUGAUACUGCGAGACUAGAGUAAUGGAGGGGGAACCGGAAUUCUCGGUGUAGCAGUGAAAUGCGUAGAUAUCGAGAGGAACACUCGUGGCGAAGGCGGGUUCCUGGACAUUAACUGACGCUGAGGCACGAAGGCCAGGGGAGCGAAAGGGAUUAGAUACCCCUGUAGUCCUGGCAGUAAACGGUGCACCCUUGGUGUGCGGGGAAUCGACCCCCUGCGUGCCGGAGCUAACGCGUUAAGCGUGCCGCCUGGGGAGUUACGGUCGCAAGAUUAAAACUCAAAGAAAUUGACGGGGACCCGCACAAGCGGUGGAGUAUGUGGCUUAAUUCGAUGCAACGGGAAGAACCUUACCUGGGCUUGACAUGUAAUGAACAACAUGUGAAAGCAUGCGACUCUUCGGAGGCGUUACACAGGUGCUGCAUGGCCGUCGUCAGCUCGUGUCGUGAGAUGUUUGGUUAAGUCCAGCAACGAGCGCAACCCCUGUUACCAGUUACCAGCACGUGAAGGUGGGGACUCUGGCGAGACUGCCCAGAUCAACUGGGAGGAAGGUGGGGACGACGUCAGGUCAAUAUGGCCCUUAUGCCCAGGGCUGCACACGUACUACAAUGCCCAGUACAGAGGGGGCCGAAGCCGCGAGGCGGAGGAAAUCCUGAAAACUGGGCCCAGUUCGGACUGUAGGCUGCAACCCGCCUACACGAAGCCGGAAUCGCUAGUAAUGGCGCAUCAGCAUGUCGCGGUGAAUACAUUCCCGGGUCUUGCACACACCGCCCGUCA